rnacentral:rRNA from 1 species
GAUGAACGCUGGCGGCGUGCCUAAUACAUGCAAGUCGAGCGAACAGAUGAGGAGCUUGCUCCUCUGACGUUAGCGGCGGACGGGUGAGUAACACGUGGAUAACCUACCUAUAAGACUGGGAUAACUUCGGGAAACCGGAGCUAAUACCGGAUAAUAUAUUGAACCGCAUGGUUCAAUAGUGAAAGACGGUUUUGCUGUCACUUAUAGAUGGAUCCGCGCCGCAUUAGCUAGUUGGUAAGGUAACGGCUUACCAAGGCAACGAUGCGUAGCCGACCUGAGAGGGUGAUCGGCCACACGGGAACUUAGACACGGUCCAGGCUCCUAAGGGAGGCAGCAGUAGGGAAUCUUCCGCAAUGGGCGAAAGCCUGACGUAGCAACGCCGCGUGAGUGAUGAAGGUCUUCUGAUCGUAAAACUCUGUUAUUAGUGAAGAACAAAUGUGUAAGUAACUAUGCACGUCUUGACGGUACCUAAUCAGAAAGCCACGGCUAACUACGUG